GGGGGGUAUAUGACCCUGGUGGGCAUCACGGGCUUCAAACCCGAUGUUUGGGCAGUUGACUGUCUGAAGGUAGGUUCGAUUCCUACACCCUCUCGCCA
rnacentral:tRNA from 1 species